AGAGGAUGGCGUACUAGUCAACUCCACCAGGAGGGUCUGGGUCACAGCCACCUAGAACAAGUUUGCCCUCAGAGACAUCCAACCUCACUGUUGGGGUUCUGCCUCCUCCAUAAGCCUGCCGGGAAGAAUGACAAACCUCCACCCCACAGGUAACAGGCGUCUAUAGUAUGGGGAGGUGGUCACUGUGGAAGGCCUGCUCACCAGCCUCAAGAAGGCUUUGCUCUCUUCACAAGUGCUGGGAUAACCCACUCCACCCUUCACUGAUCUCAUACUCCUCCACAUCCAUGCCAUUGGCUAGUGUGAUGCUCUUGGGACUGUCUCCUUGUUUGGACAAGCUUAAUCUCCUAAACUGAGAACUAAAGAGGUACAAAACAAGCAAUCAGAGCUGGAGAGCAGUUCAGUGUAAGAGCGCUUGCCCAGAAUGCUCUAACCCUGUGUUUAGUUCCCAGCAUGGAAAUUAAUGUAUAAGCACCAGGCUGCUGGCAUGAAGCGGAAGACAGACCUGACUACGGAACGGUGAUAUCCAUAGUUGCUCCUGUGGGUGACCAAGGUGACAGGUAAAGAUGUGUUGUUUGGGAGGGCUAACUCUUCUGGUGGAGGGCUUUUACACUGUAGGGGCAACUGGGCAGAGGUCUACUCAAAACAUUGCUCUGGGGGGCCAGGCACAUGGAAGAGAGGCCUUUCUUUACUUGUACUUGGUAAUACAGAGGUUUCAGAUGAGUUUGGAAGUGGAACAGCUGGGUAGUACUGCCAACUGUGCUGGUCUGAGUGCCUGGCACCUAGUGAGCGCUCUGCAACUGUUACUUGGACGAGGAAGCACGAUUUGGACAGACCUAGAGUGAGUGGCAAGGAGUCUCUGGUUUGGGAUUGAAAGAAGAGACUGAAGGCUAGUCGGCCCUUGGAAAAGUCAUGUGGUUGGGAGGAUCACACCAUUGCUUGGGCCAGGCUCGGGUGUGUGGGGAAGCUAACCGCUCAGGAAUGAGGACUGUCAUUUCAGGUGGGAUGGCAUCAGUGCACAGCAGGCCAAGGACAGGAAGGGGGUGAGCUGAAGCUCUCUGUCAGAGGCUGGGUGGGACAGAUUAUAGGCCCAGUUUGGGGGUCAACUAGAAGAUAUGAUUUCCUGACUUUAUACUUGCAUAUCAUGUGAGAAGCCCCCCUCAUAACCUUAACAACCUCACAGAUUAAAAUGGGGUUUCAUGGGUGGGGCAAGAGAAGGAAACAAACACUGCUAAGAUGGGUCAAUGGUUAAAGCACAAGCCCUGGUGACCUGCUGACCUGGUGACCUGUAAAGACACAAGAGGACCACAAAGUCUCCCGAGUUGUCCUCUGACCUCUACCCAAGAACCAUGGCAUGUACAUGUCUUCACACACUACAAAACAGAGGCACACACUCAUCCCUUCACAGACGAAAGGAGCCAACACAGGUUCUAAAUUGGCAAACUCCUUCCUUUUAAAUCCAGAGGCCCAUUCCUGGUCCAGACACUAGAGGGAAAUUUCAUAGAGUACUUAAAGUACCCACCUCCUGCCUGCCCAACCCAGCAAGUCCUAACCACUCUGCAGGGUAGGGAAGGCAGCAAGAGGCAGAUCCAGUUUCAGUUGGAAGGCAGAGAACCCAAGUCCCAGAAGACCUUCCACCCUUGCCUCAGCCUAUUAAGGUUUCAGUUUGCAGACAGCAGAAAGCAGAGAAAGACUCUUUCCUGUCCUGGAGGUAGGUGCCCAGACUCUCAACAAGGGUUGCUGGGGCCUGGAGCUGUGGCCAGCCCUGUCACAGAGAAGGGGAUGUCAGACUCCACUCUGGGCUUUGAUGGUCUUCUCUCCAUGAGCCUGGAAGGUCCAAUCAGAUUCAUACUCAAAUCUGACAUAGGGAAAUAACUCAGUUGAUAAAACUACUUGCCUUGCAAGCUUGAGGACCUGAGUCCAAUCCCCAGAACCCAUAUGAAAAAGCUGAGGAUGGCGGUGCACACUUGUAAUCACAAACCCGGGGAAGCAGGCAAUCCCUGGGGCUCACAGGCCAGCCAGCCAAGCUGAACUGGCAAGACCCAGAGCAGUGAGAGAGCAAGGAGCAAGAAGAAUGACAGCUGAGGUUGAUGUCUGGUCUUCCCGCUCAUGUGAAAACACACUUGCACACCUGCACACACCCUGACAUAGACAUAAACUCAAACACAUGGCAUUAAUACUCAAACCCUUGGGAGCAGAGUGAGGAACCUGAUACUUAACAAACUCUGACAACUUGGAGCUCUGUAUAAUGAAUGCCCGUGGGUAGCACUCUCUCUGUUUUAUGAGGAUACAGUGCCUAAGGGCCCAGGAAAGGCUUACCAAUUGCAGAGCCAAGUCCAGAGAUCCAGAAGUGUUGGCUGAGAUUCAGACUCGCUGCUUGCUGGCUACAAAGCCAGACUCUCCUACCUGUCUCAUCCCACCCACUGCGAAGGUGUGUGGCUUUGGACUUCGAUCAAGAACUUUCACUUUUUAACACCUUGAAACCCUGCCCAAUACUCUGUCUCUGAAGAGGCUAAGGAAGGAAGAAUCCUGAAACAAGGACAGAAGACAGGCUGGGCCAGGAAUCCAUCUAUCUGGUGUCUUCAGACUGGAGAGAUCCAAGCUUAACCAGAUCAGGCCUGGAAGACCUCAGGAGGCUUCAGGUAAUCUGAUCCAACUCUAGAUGAUCAGGUGGGCCAUCCUGAGCUCCCAGCUGACUCCGAGGCCACUAGCCUCCCAUGUUUCCCAUCCCCACCCUUUCCCUCAUGACAUUGCUUGCCCCUUUCCGUCUCUUCAUCCGUGGAACACUGGGUUAAGCAUUUGUUUCCUGUCAACCCCUUUGCAGACCACUGGUGACAGAGAUGAGCAAGGCAGACAGACACACUGCCGGGCCCUCCACGUGCUCCUGGCCGACUCAGUUGGUUGCCCAGGAGGACUGGACAUCUGUGUUUCUAACAGCCCUUGCAGGGCUGGGGAGAGAGUUGAGUCAGUGAAGUGCUUUCUGGGCCAGCCCAAGGAGCUACGAUUGGGUGUCUAGAACUCAGGUCAAAAGCUAGUGCACUCAUGCACAGUUGUAAUGGCAGAGUUGGGGAGGCGGAGACCGGAGGAUUCCCAGGGCUUGCUGGCCAGACAGAUUAGCCAACUGGUGAGCUCCAGGUUCAGGGAGUGAGCCCAUCUCUCAAAAUGUACAAAGCAAUAAAGGAAGACACCCAACAUCCA